rnacentral:lncRNA from 1 species
UGUUUUAUGGUUUGUUUUUCUCAUGGUAAACCCUCAAUCUUUUGUGACAAUCGGACUCGAAUUGUUCGUCGACCAAAACAGUUAUGGAUCAUGAAAACAACGCUCCUUCGUUGUUAAAGUUGAUUGAGGACUAUGAUCCUAUAUUUUUCGAGUUGUUCGUCGACCAAAAAUAGUUAUGGAUCAUGAAAACAACGCUCCUUCGUUGUUAAAGUUGAUUGGGGACUAUGAUCCUAUAUUUUUGGAAAUACCGUAUGAUUUUGCAACCUUAUUGUAGGGAGAACAACUUCCAUAUGUCAAUGUCUUAAAAUUAUUGAUGAUGAUUUAUCGUGAGUCAUUUAGUUAUAUUUUUUGUAUUUAGUUAGUUGUUAAUUCUUUAA